rnacentral:lncRNA from 1 species
GCACGUUCACUCAUACAUGCUGCUUCUACUCCAGAAGUACGCAUCCACAUACAUCCACUCCUUUCCAUCUCCAGAUUCACCCAAAAUUAUUCUACUCCUAUCCAGGAGAGAAUAGGCAAAAACAUUAUCCUAUCUCUGUUAUUCCCCGUGAAAUAAAUGCUCGAGAUAUUUUGGUUACUACCACUUGCUACAUUAUUCCAGGAGGGUGAGUGCUCUAAAAAAAGUGAAUACGAGAAAAUAAAAACGGGCAAGUGCCCGAAACCUCGAAGAAAAGAAAAAGUGAGACGAGAGGUAAAAAUGGACAAGUGUCUGACAGUAGAAUUAGGGGUACAAGAUACCCACCUGAGAGAAAAGCAAAAGAAAAUAUAGAGCAUCUCAUUCCACCUCAAAAAGCUUCAAAGUGCAAGAAAGGUAUGUAUCCCCUCAAAAGAGCAAAAGUAGAAUUAGACUUUCACCAUUAUCACCAUCAUCACCAUACACCAUUCAUUCGUCACACAUGCACAUCUUGAUAUUGACUUAUUGACUUGUUUCUCUGGAUCCAUGGUUUGACUAUGCAAUAAAUGUCUUGUAAGUAUGUAUACUUUAUCUCCCACCUAUGAGCUCUAGAUAUCAAGCCUUAUUAGAGUAGGGUGAGAGAGAAGGCAAUGUCACUAUGCCUUAUACCACAAAUACUACAUACUUUGAGAGAAGGCAUAUACCAUCACUGCCUUGGUAAGGAUCCAGAAAUACCACAAAAGAGAGACUAGAGAGAGUCAUACAAGGAAUCUCUGAGUUUUAUUUGAAAAUCUGCAAAAACUCCAGAGCUAUAGUUGAUCAAGAACAAGAGACAUGGCGCUUGACUUGACCGUUCUAUCUUUUAACUGCUCAAGACACAAGUGACGGUUGCAAGCCCCAUGGUAGAAGGUAAUAUGAGUAAGUUUAAAUCUUAA